rnacentral:lncRNA from 1 species
AGCCACAGGCGCAGCAGCAGCAGCAACAGCGGCAUCCGAAGCGAGAGAUAGCGCGGCGGCAGGCCGAGGACGCAAUUAAAUCUUGGGGUUGGCGGUAGUAAAGGCUCGCCACCAACUGCAAGCUCAGCACGCAGUGCGCUCGCUCUCGCUCUUUUGUUUCGCGCGCGGGUUUCUGCCGGCCUGUGACUCGCGUGGUGGCCAAGACAGCGAGAUUAGUUUCAAGCGGAGGAGUGCAAAAUGCGAGAGACGGGGGACCGAGACAGAGAGGGGGAACUAGGCCGCGCGCGAGUGAGAACAAAUCUCGAAUUGUACAGGUGGGGGACGACUACUCGGGCAGGGACAC